UACAGGGGGGGCAAGCGUUGUUCGGAAUUACUGGGCGUAAAGGGCUCGUAGGUGGCCAACUAAGUCAGACGUGAAAUCCCUCAGCUUAACUGGGGAACUGCGUCUGAUACUGGAUGGCUUGAGUUUGGGAGAGGGAUGCGGAAUUCCAGGUGUAGCGGUGAAAUGCGUAGAUAUCUGGAGGAACACCGGUGGCGAAGGCGGCAUCCUGGACCGAGAUUGACGCUGAGGCGCGAAAGCCAGGGGAGCAAACGGG
rnacentral:rRNA from 1 species